GGAGGCGCGGCUCUGGGCUGUUGAGAGGGGGUUGGAAGAGCGGGAGCGGCUCGCACGGCUGUGGCUGAGCCGGUGGUGCGCGUAUGGCGGCGGGCAGAGGGCGUUCCGUGUCUGUGAGCAGAGCGGUGCUGACAGGGAGCGGGCCGCGUCCUUCCGCUGGCCUGUGACGAACCGUUCCCUUCGGCAGCAGCGUGCGGACGCAGCUUAGAGCCGUACGUUGGAAGGGACCGCUAAAGGUCGGUUCCCCCACACUGGCCGACCUCUGCCAUCGCUGGGCCGGCCGUGCUGUCCGCACGUGCGUCCCCUCGUGUUUUACGUGCUUACUUCCCAAAGCCUCGCAGUGGCAUGAAAGGAAGAAGCCUUUGCAGACCAGCGGGUGGCAUUUUGUGUUGCUUUGCUGUGGGCCUCCUGAAUUCUGUCCCCCCCAGCCUGGAUCGCAUUGGCCAUUUCUGCAAGACAAGAACAAGCACCGUGCUGAAACACCUGGGGUCUGAAUGCAGUUCUGAGUGACAAAAGCAAAGCUUUAUGUGGUGAUGGAAUCAUGACAGAAUAGGAAUCUGACAGUACUGCCAAAAAAAGUUGUGUCUUGUCACUUACUGGAAAAUUAGGAUCUGUGCAAAGGAACAGCAGCAUGGAUAUCUUCUUUGGGAAUAAACUGUGAGAUAUAGUUCCUAGAAA